rnacentral:rRNA from 1 species
UUCCGGUUGAUCCUGCCGGACCUGACUGCUAUCGGAUUGAUACUAAGCCAUGCGAGUCAUUGUAGCAAUACAAGGCAGACGGCUCAGUAACGCGUAGUCAACCUACCCUAUGGACGGGAAUAACCUCGGGAAACUGAGUAUAAUGCCCGAUAGAACACUAUACCUGGAAUGGUUUGUGUUCCAAAUGAUUUAUUGCCAUAGGAUGGGACUGCGGCCUAUCAGUUUGUUGGUGAGGUAAUGGCCCACCAAGACUAUUACAGGUACGGGCUCUGAGAGGAGUGGCCCGGAGAUGGGUACUGAGACACGGACCCAGGCCCUAUGGGGCGCAGCAGGCGAGAAAACUUUGCAAUGUGCGAAAGCACGACAAGGUUAAUCCGAGUGGUUUCUGCUAAAGAAACCUUUUGACAGUCCUAGAAACACUGUUGAAUAAGGGGUGGGCAAGUUCUGGUGUCAGCCGCCGCGGUAAAACCAGCACCUCAAGUGGUCAGGAUGAUUAUUGGGCCUAAAGCAUCCGUAGCCGGCUCUGUAAGUUUUCGGUUAAAUCUGUACGCUCAACGUACAGGCUGCUGGGAAUACUGCAGAG